rnacentral:lncRNA from 1 species
GUAAAAAAAAAAUAAUAAAAUUUCACUUAUAUUUAAUAUUUUUUAUUCAUUUUCCGUAUUGUUUCAUAAAACGAAAUAUAGGAAAUUAUAAUAGAUUAUUUGAUGGAACGCAGAUGAAUCAUUAUAUACUCAUAUAUAAGAACUAAAAGUUUCGAAUGGCCUAUAUAUUUUGGAAAUGGUACGGACGAUUGAAAGAAAAUGCGAAAUAUUUGUAAAAUUUGCUAAAUAGUGCAAAGGAAGAUAUCAUUUGUCACAAUAUUUGUGUGAAUGUCGUUCCUCCCCAUCAUGAUAAGGUUCUGUCCCACUUCCUGCGGAUGUUCAAGUUCCUGACUGGUUAGAAUUACGGGGAGGGAGGAACUUCCUGAGUGCACGCAAUUCACUUGACUUUCUUUUUCGGAAGAGACGCUGCAAUGGCAGCGGCUAAAAGACGUUUAUCUGGUACUUGGAUAGCUGUCACUUCAAGAGUAAGAAAAGUUUCGACUCUCUCAUUUGGAGGAGGAUAUCACGUAAGUUUCAUUAUGUUUAGAAGCAUAUUUUCAACAGUUAGUUUUAAUUUUCUUCAAAGCGUGCAGCAUCUUUGCAACAAGAACAAAAUUGGUUUCCGGUGUCCGAUUCCACCACCGACAGUUUCGAGAUGAGAAAAAUCUUUACAAUCUUCUCGAAAUCUUCCAUGAAUAAUUAAUAAGAAAACAUUAUAUAUUUCUAUUUUUAAAAUAAUUUCUCAGAAUUAUUUUUUGUUUAUAAAAUUAGUUCGAAAUUGC